rnacentral:sRNA from 1 species
AGUGUGCAAUAUAUACCAGUAGGACCAGGAGAUUAAUUGAACAUUCCACUUGAUAUUUCCCAUCAAAAGGGUCAUUUUAGAAUAUUCUAUCACCUCUUUAAACACUGUUCUUAAAAAAGAGAUUAUAUUGUGUAAUUUGUUUUGAGUACUUGUACAGGAUACAAAUACAUAUCAUCUGUGUGCUUUCUGUAACAGUUGCAAAUAUCAAAACACUGUUAACAAACCAAUAGAAUUUCUCACAAAGUCCUAUUUAUGAUAUUAAUUCUAUAAAUAUAGAUUUUUUUAAUACUCUUGUCAUCAAAAGUUUUCAAUUGAAUAUUUCAAUUUUAAUGUUUUUACUUUUCUGGUCACUAUAUAUCAAGGUUUUUAAGAUAUUAUCAAAUACCCUGUAAUUUUUGGAAAUCUACAACAUUUUUUAAAAGACAUAUCUUUUAAAAAUACAAUUUACUGAAAAAAGUGGCAUCAUAAAAGACUUUAAUGCUUGAAAGUUAUUCUGAGAUUGCAUUAAAUAUUAAAGGCUUUGGUUUUAUAUUUUGAACUUUGUUCGACAUUAUGAUGUGUUGCAAUGGUGUAAGUAGGUGAGGUAUAUACCACUUAGUGGGACACUAGUCAAAUCAAGAAAACUGAUCUAAGAUUGAUAUCGUUUAUAUUAUUCAGAGACAUCUCCUCAGAUACUAGCUCUCACACAUAAAUAUUUAUCUCACCCAAGUAUUUGCCUCAGUCUAGUUGACAGGUAUGCAAAUUACACAGACAGUUGAGUAAUGUUACACUCUAUGUUUAGAUGCAUUUAUUAUAGAGGAUUACACCAUGUCGUAGUGUAAGUCGUAGUACUGAUGUAACCUUGAUAAACUACUGUACAGGUAUAUCAAAUUGUCCCUGAUAAAAGACAGAUAUAUUAUCAUGAAACACCUUCUUUCAUUUUUUGCAUAAUUGCCAUGAGUAGAAUAUUAUCAAAGUGAAAUCAAAAUAAAUCUUAUUAAAUAAGCACUUUUCUAAACAUACCAUCAAAGUUUUUGGUGAAAUAAGUAGUUUAUAUAUACAUGUUUAUUCAUCUUGGGAUACAAGCUGUAAAUAUGUACCCAUACUAAAUGGGAGGUUUGUCUUUAGGGUUGUACCAUAUUGUUGUAUACAUAAUGAGAUAAUGAAAACUCCUAAAAUGAUAGUUGGAAACUUUGCAAAUGGUUGUUAGAGGUUUCUUAUUAAGAUUUGUCUGCAAGCUGAAUGCUCCAGCAACCAAAAGAGUUGCCAAAAGUUUUUUCUAACGGGUAUUAUAAAUAAAUUGCAUAUUUGUUAGCUAUUCAAAAGUGUUCAUUCCAUCAAAGCAUAGUAACUUUCAGGGCUGACAUAUACUUUCGUUUUUAUUUUCCACAAAUACCACAAUUCUUCCUAUGACCUGUGUUAAGAUCACCUCCAUAUAACUAUUUACUGCACCACAUCUUUUAUAUGGCAUAGUUUGUAUAUAAUUGUUGCAGACAAAGAAAAGGGUCAGUAACUGUAAUGAGUGUGUCAUUGAAUAUAUGCUAAAUAUAGUUCUGUAUGCUCAAUUAUGUCCCACUUGAUUAGCCUAAGGAAAGGAAGUAAUCAUUGUAUUUGCUAAUAAUGCAGUUACUUUUAUUCUGUUGUUCUUUUAUUGUGUUUGUUGAAUGGAUGGUGUUUGUUACAUGUAACCCUAUUUUAUUUCGAGAUGUUUUAACUUGUUAUGCCAUCAGUGAGUAUUCAACUGAUAUUACUUGUUAAAGAUUUUUUAAAUUUUCUAUUUGUUGCUGUUAUUAUACAUAUAUAUCAAUAAACUUUCAAAUCU